GCAACGUUGGCUGGGGGCGUUGCAACGGAUGCUGGGGGCGUUGCAACGGAUGCUGGGCGCGUUGCAACGGAGGCAGGUCGCGUUGCAACGGAUGCUGGGGGCGGUGCAUCGUUGGCUGGUUUCGUUGCAACGGAGGCACCCGCCGUUGCAACGAUGGCUCGGAGCGUUUCAACG